GCGGGGAAGAACGGGGUGGAGAGCCCGAGGCCUCGAGAGGGAGGGGACAGUUUACAAAAAAAUGCCCUAUCCGAGUGGGACUGUGGCCCAAGAAAACCCCGCUCGUGGCCGAGCUACCAAAUCGGCCUCCAGUGCACCCAGGAGAGCCUCAAGAAACAGCGAACUGUGACAGAGACUCGUGCACCCGAUUAAUUGAAUAUUAAUCACCUCAGGGACCUAGGCCAACUGCCACCCAGGGAGUGGCAACAGCAGAACCCAAAGCUGCCGUGCCAGACUGGGGGUGGGGAAGGUAGACCACCUGGCCACACCUCCCGCCCAGGUGACAGUUUAACUGCUUCUGCAUCCCACGUCAGACCUCCCCGUGCGACCCGGCAACAACUUGGACGUGGGGGUGGCUUGAGACUGUAAGAAGAAUCACAUUUUAUUCCCAAUGUCCCAGCCUAGGCCUCCGUCCCAAAUUGCGAAGAAGCAUUUGAUAUGAGGCUCUGGGUGGUAUCACAACAAUAAGAAUUCCUCUCUGUGGCAGGACUUUUUAUGGGUAUGCUGAUUCUGAAAUUCAUCUGGAAGAAUAAACAUACAAGAAUAACUAAGAACAUUUUGAAAUAGAAGAAGAAUGAGAGGAGGACCUCCUGUUAUAUAUCAAGACAUACAACAAAGAUACCAAAGAUAU